AGGAGAGGAGAAAUUUUCACGAAAACUUGACCAAUCUUCGUGCAGUUCGUCCCUACUUCUAGGUAUCGAGGUUCGCAAUUUCCAUGCCCAACUUCUACUCACGAAGGCGAUGGAGAUCCUUCCGCCGAGGCAUAGCUACUCGAGUUGGAGAUCGAGUUGUAAGCGGUGGAGUAGAGUUAUGAGAAGCAGCUUUGCUUCUCUUCUUGUGGAUUAUGUUGGAGUCUCUUUUACUUUAUGAGAACUCUGUUAUUAAAGUCUUGCUUCCGCCACUGUUAAAGUGCGCAUGUU